rnacentral:tRNA from 1 species
GGCGCUAUAGCCAAGUGGUUACGGCGACAGAUUAGAAAAACACAAUAACAAACAUGAAAUCCUAUCUGUUCCUCUUUGAGGGCGCAGGUUCAAAUCCUGCUGGCGUCG